rnacentral:rRNA from 1 species
AUUGAACGCUGGCGGCAGGCCUAACACAUGCAAGUCGAGCGGAUGAAGGGAGCUUGCUCCUGGAUUCAGCGGCGGACGGGUGAGUAAUGCCUAGGAAUCUGCCUGGUAGUGGGGGAUAACGUCCGGAAACGGGCGCUAAUACCGCAUACGUCCUGAGGGAGAAAGUGGGGGAUCUUCGGACUUCACGCUAUCAGAUGAGCCUAGGUCGGAUUAGCUAGUUGGUGGGGUAAAGGCCUACCAAGGCGACGAUCCGUAACUGGUCUGAGAGGAUGAUCAGUCACACUGGAACUGAGACACGGUCCAGACUCCUACGGGAGGCAGCAGUGGGGAAUAUUGGACAAUGGGCGAAAGCCUGAUCCAGCCAUGCCGCGUGUGUGAAGAAGGUCUUCGGAUUGUAAAGCACUUUAAGUUGGGAGGAAGGGCAGUAAGUUAAUACCUUGCUGUUUUGACGUUACCAACAGAAUAAGCACCGGCUAACUUCGU